AAAUGGGCUUCUUUCUUUCUAUCUCUAAUUAUUAUUAACUCUAACUGUUUUUUUUUUCUUCUUGGCAGUUUCCAAAAUAGGAGGCAAAUUUUGGUUGGCAUGACCAUGAGUUUUGCUGGGUUUUCGUGUAAUCCAAUUUUGUCCAAUGCAUUUGCAGAGACCGAAGUGGCAGAGGGUUUUCGUAUCUACACUGAUGAUGUAAACAAGUUCAAGAUAUCUGUACCAAAAGGGUGGUCAUUGGCUGCAAGUGAGCCUGAUGGGUUCAAAUCCGUCACUGCUUUCUACCCAGAAGGGAACACUAGC